rnacentral:rRNA from 1 species
CCUACGGGAGGCAGCAGUGGGGGAUAUUGCACAAUGGGGGGAACCCUGAUGCAGCGACGCCGCGUGGGUGAAGGAGUGCUUCGGCAUGUAAAGCCGUAUCGGCAGGGAAGAAGCAAGACGGUACCUGACUAAGAAGCCCCGGCUAACUACGUGCCAGCAGCCGAGGUACUACGGAGGGGGCGAGCGUUGUCCGGAUUCAUUGGGUGUAACGGGAGCGUAGACGGCCGUGCAAGCCAGGGGUGAAAGCCCGGGGCCCAACCCCGGGGCUGCCCUUGGCACUGCAUUGCUGGGGUGCGGGGGGGGGAGGCGGAAUUCGGGGUGUAGCGGUGAAA